rnacentral:rRNA from 1 species
GCGUGCUUACACAUGCAAGUCGAACGGUAACAGGAAGUACUUGUACUUUGCUGACGAGUGGCGCACGGGUGAGUAAUAUAUAGGUUACGUGCCUCUUAGACUGGGAUAGCCACUGGAAACGGUGAUUAAUACUGGAUAUUCCUACUUGUAGGGAAAGCUUUUGCGCUAAGAGAUCGGCCUAUACUGUAUCAGCUUGUUGGUGAGGUAAUGGCUCACCAAGGCGAUGACACAUAGCGGGUUUGAGAGGAUGAUCCGCCACACUGGUACUGAGACACGGACCAGACUCCUACAGGAGGCAGCAGUGAGGAAUAUUGCACAAUGGGGGAAACCCUGAUGCAGCAACGCCGCGUGGAGGAUGACGCAUUUCGGUGUGUAAACUCCUUUUAUCAGAGAAGAAAAUGACGGUAUCUGAUGAAUAAGCUCCGGCUAAC